UAUAAUUUUUCUAAAUUCAAGUGUUUAUAGCAAUUCAAAGCUGGUCAAGUUAUAUGCAGUGUACAUUAUGGCUCCUCAAAAUAGCAACUCGAAUAUAAGAGAUUUUAGCCCAUGAUUAUUAUUGUAUUCUCCACUUGCAAUAUGAUCUCUUUUUUAACUAUAGAAUUGUAAUGAUCUUUCUUCAAUGCGUGUUUAGGUAGUGCUUGUGCAAAAUUUUUAUAGUUUGAAACUCUGAAGGCUAUUAUUACAGUAUGUUUCAGUAGGCAAUGCUUUUGAUUAUAGAUAUAUCAUUGCUAUGCUGAUUAGCAAUCAAGCAUUCCCUUAUUUGUGUUAGAAAAGUGGUAAAUGAUUUCACUAAUGAUCUUGUAUUAGUUCAGAUAUGCUGGAAGAUGGUUCAUGAGAACCUCAGCCUUGAAAAAGGAAUUUGAAAUGUUUAGAUGAUAGCCAAACACAAAAUUUUAUUCCUGUGAAAUUGUAUUAAUGCUUGGUCACUUGCUUUAUUUGUCUGCCUUUCUGUCUAUCUACACAUGCACAAACGCACAUUGAUAUUCAAUCACAUGUUCAGUGGUUUAAUGCCAUUCAUCUGACUUAAAAGUUUGCUUGUAGAUGAUACUUUAUGAUACACCUG
rnacentral:misc_RNA from 1 species